AUACGAUCAUGUCUGCGAAACCGGGAUGCCACUUCCCACCUGGCCUCUCCCUGACCCCAGCUUGUUCCCUUGGAGGGCCGGUGGACUCCUCAGCCUCGCAGCAAUGAAAUCAGGCCUUGAGGCCACCCCACCCGUGACCUGCGGCUGUUCCUGGUCAUUGAGUACGUCAACGGCGGGGACCUGAUGUUCCACAUGCAGAGGCAGAGGAAGCUCCCUGAGGAGCACGCCAGAGACGGAGUUUCGCCAUGUUGCCCAGGCUGGUCUUGAAUUCCUGACCUCAGGUGAUCUGCCUGCCUCGACCUCCCGAAGUGCUGGGAUUACAGGUUCUACGCGGCCGAGAUCUGCAUCGCCCUCAACUUCCUGCACGAGAGGGGGAUCAUCUACAGGGACCUGAAGCUGGACAACGUCCUCCUGGAUGCGGACGGGCACAUCAAGCUCACAGACUACGGCAUGUGCAAGGAAGGCCUGGGCCCUGGUGACACAACGAGCACUUUCUGCGGAACCCCGAAUUACAUCGCCCCCGAAAUCCUGCGGGGAGAGGAGUACGGGUUCAGCGUGGACUGGUGGGCGCUGGGAGUCCUCAUGUUUGAGAUGAUGGCCGG
rnacentral:sRNA from 1 species